rnacentral:rRNA from 1 species
CCUACGGGAGGCAGCAGUGGGGAAUCUUGCACAAUGGAGGGAACUCUGAUGCAGCGACGUCGCGUGAACGAUGAAGGCUUUCGAGUCGUAAAGUUCUGUCCUAUGGGACGAUAAUGACGGUACCAUAGGAGGAAGCCCCGGCUAACUACGUGCCAGCAGCCGCGGUAAUACGUAGGGGGCAAACGUUGUCCGGAAUUACUGGGCGUAAAGGGUACGCAGGCGGCCAUGUAAGUCAGAUGUGAAAGGCCAAGGCUUAACCUUGGUUAGCAUUUGAAACUGUGUGGCUUGAGUUAAGGAGAGGAAAGUGGAAUUCCUAGUGUAGCGGUGAAAUGCGUAGAUAUUAGGAGGAAUACCAGUGGCGAAGGCGACUUUCUGGACUUAUACUGACGCUGAGGUACGAAAGCGUGGGGAGCAAACAGGCUUAGAUACCCCUGUAGUC